rnacentral:lncRNA from 1 species
GGAAACUGGCGGGCAGCCAGGCGGGGCUGGAGGUGGAAAGAGGAAAGGCGCCAGAAGGGAACUCGUGCGCCGCUGCGCCGCUCCCCCCGCCCCGCUUCCUGGCUCCCCGCGCCGCGGCCCCGACGGCCGUCCUGCCCCCCUCGACGGCCGCCCCCCGCCCGGCUCCCGGGGCCGCGAGGAAUCGCCUUCCUUCUCCCGCCGCCGCCCGGCACCGGGUUUUUCUCGUUUCCACGCCAAGAGCGCGCGAACAAAACUUGGUGCUGCCGCUGGCGUCGACGGCUGCCAAAAGUCUGUUGACGUUGCGAGGGAGACCCGAACGCUCCCCGCUCUGAUCCGCCGCCCGAGCAGCGCGGUGUGCCCCCGCCUGCCCCUGCGGUGCGGGGCCGGGCGCUCCCGGCUGGGCUCGGCACGGCGUUGCGUGCAGGUCAGUGCUUGCAGGCGCCGCUCACAGCUGGUUUCACACGGCGGCAGGGCUGCGGAACCGCGUGUGCGCGUUUCGCUCUCGCCCCCCCGCGCGCCUCCCCCCGUCGCGCAUCACCGCCUAUAUUUAGCCGCGGAGGGCCCUAUCGGGCAGGCACCUCCCGGAGGAAAUGCCGGUCGCGCUCCGGGGGCUGCGGCGCACCGCCCUGCCUGCCGUCGGGGUUUCGUAACGGGGCCGCCCCCGCGGAAGGCGGGUAUAAAUAGAGGAGCGCUGCCCUCCUUGUAGCGCUGCGGGCACCCCCGGGAUGGGAGGAGAGGAGACGAAGGGGUGCGACCAGAGGUGCAGCUGCAGUGAUGCGAGGACUGGCACCGGCGGACCUCUACCCCGUCGCGGUUCACAUAGAGUUCACGGGGUGCCGAGCGCACGUGUGUGCCUGGGGUGGCUUUAGGGGAUCGGGCUGCAGCUGGUGACCCCGCGCCCCAAAGGGCUCUGGUGCAGGAGGCUCCUGUCUUCCGGUGCAGUUCUGUGCUUCAUUAGUUGCCCCAGCGCAGGCGCUGCGCCUUAUCUCAGCCAUCCGCGUCCGGGGAGAAGCCCGGAGCUGGCCCCAAAAGGAGUGGGGUGCGAGGCUCCCAGCGGUGCGGCCACCAGCCGUACGGAAAGCCUUAAAUCACUCCAGCCAUGCUGCUGCUGCCUCUAUUGAAAACAUUACGAGCGGCGCAUCUGGAAACCAGUAAAUCUGUCCAGAAACCGUCUUUGCAGUGAAAUAACUCCUUCUGAAUGAUAGCGCGGUCUGUAAUCUCCGCAGAUUUUUGUUUCCUCGCAGCGAUUUUUGUGGGCUUCGUUAUUAGAGAGCGAACGGUGCCGGAGAGAGGAGGGUCACGGCGCCGUGCCAUUAAUAUACAUUUGUUCCAGACGCGGAGUUCUGCACAAAAGGCCGCUCCGAGGGGAGAGGAAAGUGUUGGGGAGCGAACGCCGCUCGGGCCCUUCCAUCCCUCCCCACGUGUGCGAAGUAUUGUGCUGAGGCGCAAUCUGGGAUUCUUCCCCAUUAAAUGCCAAAGCCGUCAUUUGCAUAUCCCGGAGCCUAACAAAGGAAAUGAGUUUGCCGGGGAAGCUGCGUGCGGUGGGAGACGCUCCGCGCUGAGCUCCCCGCGGUCAGCCCUGUGCGCGCCGAGCCGCCCGCUCGCGGGCUUCUAUUUUUGCGAGAGAGGAAGAGCCGAGGGAUAUCCUGUGCAUUAAGGCUCCCCCUACUUCUUAACCCGGCGUUCGGCAGCGGGAUGCGGGCUGAAGCGCGGUCGAAAGCGACAACUCGAGCUCCGAAGAGCAAUUAAAAUCUUGCGCCGGAAUAAAUCAUGCGCCGCGCUAAUCCUGUUAAUAAAACGCAGCUUGUCCUGACACUUCGCUCAUGCAGCAAAGCAGGAUUUAAUGCGAGCGGAGGUGGCGGCGGGAGGGAGAGGCAUUCCCUUCACUGCCGGCUGUGGGGACGUGACUGCCUCUCGCCCUCUCAUCUGCUGUGGCCAGCCCCGGCCUGCUUUGGGAGCCCGUUGCUCCGGCCCCGCCGAGGUGGGUGUUUGGGUGCCGGUGUGAGCCGCAGCGUGCUCCGAUUGAACGCGCCGGGGAAAGUUUUCUUUGUCGAUAGCCCGGAAUGGUACUUAAUUUUCUGGACGCGCGCUGGGGAAAAGAUCCAUCUCCUCUGACCUAUAAAUGCCCUCAAUUUGCUCCUUUAUUGCAGGGUAUCUCCCUUAGCGGUUGGCGGAGGCAGCGCGCUCCCCGCACCAACGCGGUAUUCAUUAUUAAUGACCCGGAGGGAGGCCGCCCGCUCCGCUCUGAUGUUUGCAUUUCCUCCCAGACAAAUCUGCUCAACUUUCUU